AAAGAGCCGAUUGUGUUGGAACGGGCAGAACCGGCACUGCUAUGCGGCAGACAGCACUACCCCUUGCCACUCCUAAGCUACUUAGGACCAUGACCGGACUGAGGUGCCAAGAACUCAAUCACAAAGGCAAUCUCAAUAACCAUGCAUGAAGGAGUAAAGAAAAGGAGGGGAAAAAAACGCCAGCUCCAAAGUACUCUUCUAAAAAUCGGCACUUGCCAUCUGCCACUACAAAGACUGAAUCACGUUGGCACUUGCCAUCUACCUCUGCUUGGAUUAAAUCAUGAACCGCUGCAGCCGCUGACCUCCAGCACUCCCAGAAAGGAGUUCAGGGUGGAGA